GACGGACGCUGGCGGCGUGCUUAACACAUGCAAGUCGAACGGAAAGGCCCUGCUUGCCGGGUACUCGAGUGGCGAACGGGUGAGUGACACGUGGGUGAUCUGCCCUGCACUUCGGGAUAAGCUUGGGAAACUGGGUCUAAUACCGGAUAGGAACCAUCUUUAGUGUGGUGGUUGGAAAGUUUUUUCGGUGUAGGAUGAGCUCGCGGCCUAUCAGCUUGUUGGUGGGGUAAUGGCCUACCAAGGCGGCGACGGGUAGCCGGCCUGAGAGGGUGUACGGCCACAUUGGGACUGAGAUACGGCCCAGACUCCUACGGGAGGCAGCAGUGGGGAAUAUUGCACAAUGGGCGCAAGCCUGAUGCAGCGACGCCGCGUGGGGGAUGAAGGCCUUCGGGUUGUAAACUCCUUUCGCUAGGGACGAAGCUUUGUUGUGACGGUACCUAGAUAAGAAGCACCGGCUAACUACGUG
rnacentral:rRNA from 1 species